GAUGAACGCUGGCGGCGUGCUUAACACAUGCAAGUCGAACGGAAAGGCUCCUGCUUGCAGGGGUGCUCGAGUGGCGAACGGGUGAGUAACACGUGGGUGAUCUGCCCUGCACUUGGGGAUAAGCCUGGGAAACUGGGUCUAAUACCGGAUAGGACCACAUUUUGGAUGGUGUGGUGGAAAGUUGUUCGGUGUGGGAUGUGCUCGCGGCCUAUCAGCUUGUUUGGGGGGUAAUGGCCUACCAAGGCGUCGACGGGUAGGCGGCCUGUGAGGGUGUACGGCCACAUUGGGACGGAGAUAAGGCACCGACACCGAAGCGAGGGAGAAGUGGGGAAUAUUGACCAAUGGGCGCAAGCCUGAUGAAGAGAGGCCGCGUGGGGGAUGACGCCGUUCGGGUUGUAGACCCCUUUCGCUAGGGAAGAAGCGUUUUUGUGACGGUACCUGGCGAAGAAGCACCGGCUAACUACGUG
rnacentral:rRNA from 1 species